GCCUGUGUGUUUCCACAGAGCCGUUUCCUCCCUGGGUCAUCGUUCUGCUGGUUCUGCUCAGUGUGACUCUGACUGCUACUACUGUCCUGGUGUAUAAGUACAGACACUACUUCAACUCAGCCCCGGCGGCCCAGCAGCAGCAGGAGGAUGAUGAUGACUACGAUGAUGAAGAUGAUGAGACGAAGAUGAACUCAGAGGAUUAACAUCAUAAACAUUUCUGGACUCAUCGAGUUUCUGCUUCUUUAAAUCCGAUUCCUGGAUCAACAUUUCAGAUAAACUUUAUAUUUUUAAUCUAAAAUUACGUUUAUUCUACUGGUUUUAUUUAAAUUCAUGUUUGGUGGAAAUUUAAACUGAUUACUAAGUUGAAAACAUCCAAACAUUAAUAUGCACUGAUUUUACUGAAUUGAUGUAAAUAAUCUGUAUUUAAUAAUUUCUUUAACCUCCAGCUAACA